ACCAAAUUAUACCUUGUGUCCAUAUUAAGCCCAAUCAUCCUUUUUAUUUAUUUGGGCCAAUUAUUUUUCACUCAUAUUAUCUCUUAUGAGACCCAAAUAUCUCUAAUCUACCUCACUCUAUAAAUACCUCUUCAAUCCCCAAAAUCUUCUCCCACACAAAAUUCAAAUGGUCCAAGUAUAUUAUUUUUUUUUAUUUUCCCUUUUUCUUUCUUUUCCUUUUCUUUUUCUUUCCUUCUUUUCUUAAUUUUCUUUCUUUUCUUUUUGGUUCUUUUUCCUUGCCCUUCACGUGAGGUUCUCACAAGGAAAACUUGAUGCCCAUGCUUCCUCACGGCCCCACCCAUCGAACCCGCCACCGGCAGCCAGACCACGACGCCGGCGACCAUGGGCGGCCACCACCAGCCGAUCAGCCACCAUGCAUGACCCUCCUUAUCUCUCCUCUUUUAUUUUAAUUAUUUUGAUAAUGUAUUUAUGGGGUUUUGAUUUUUAAAUGUUCAAAAUAUAUUUAAUUAGUAUCAAAGUCAUGUUUUAAUGAAUUAAAAAGUAUAAUUUUAGAUUUUAGCAUGGGUUAAUUUUCAGAUUUUUAAAGAUUAUAAAGUGAUGGUUUUAAUUUAUUCAAGACAUGAUGUUUAGGGAUCUUUUAUAAACUAAUUUGGGGAUUUUUUGUAAUCAUUGAUUAUAACUAAUAAUUGAGUAUAAAAGUACGUUUUUAAUGAAGGUUUAAGAGGUUUUGAUUAGUUUAAAAUGCUAGAAAUUUGUUCUUAGUGCUACCUAUAGAGUUUUGAAAAGGGGUUUUUAAUUAACCAUUAUAAGGGAGAUUAUUUAAGGGUUUUAAAAUAAUUUUUAGUUUAUUUAGAAUGAUUAAAAGUAAGUUUAAGUUGCUGGAAAUUGUGUAUACAAGGGUAAUGAAUGUAUUUUUUAUUGUCCCUCGUCUAUGUAGGAGACUUUGUUCUACUUUGUACGACUACUUUAAGAGCUUAUUCGAGGUACAUACGCGUACUCGGAAUUUAUUAAGCGUGUAGAAUCAUGCUAGGAUUUAUUUUGAUUAUUUCUAAGAAAUUAGUAUCAUGCUAGGAAUUGGUUGGAAUUGUUGGAUUGAAUUGGUUUUGUGGAAUUGAAUUGGAUUGGUAUUGGUUUGUGAGGCAUGAUUAUUUAGAAUGAAUUAUUGUUGGAAUUGGUGAUGUUCGAAUAUUGUAUAUGGACCACACUUUUAUUAUUGGCAUGAUUAAGAGCGUGGUUAAUUGAACUAAAUAUUUAAUUGAGUUUGGAAUAUUGAAAGGGAAUUUUAUUAUGCUUUAUUGAUGCAUUUAAGCAUGGGAAUUAAGCUACAUAAGUGUCUUAGCACACAAGGAUAAUUUAUAUUGUUGUGCCUACGUACACUUAUGGUUUUUAUACACCGAGGGAUAGGAUUUGCGGUGCUUUAUGCGCUUAAGGUGUUUCUACAGUGAGGUAGUUUUAAAAAGGGUUCAACAUUAAAUUAGAUGUGGUCACUAAUUAUUCAAGAUUUAAAUUGGAAUGUUUGAUUGCUUGAGUGAUUCAUGUUGAUUGAUUGUUUUUAUUGAUUGUUUUAUUGAUUGAGAGUCAUCACCAAGUCUAAAAUGUAAUUAACGUAGAGUGAAAGAAGUUACGCACCAAAACUCUUGGAACGUAUAUAGCUUGAAUAUGAACAUAUGGGGAGAAUUAUGGUGUUUUAUAUUUAACCAUAGCUUCUAUUGGGAGUACAGGACGUUGUACUUUCCUUUUAUUAUUAUUAUGCGCAGGGACGUCCGUCACUUUCAUGUGACAUUGGUGCCUACCCGGAUAGCUCCAGGAGUAAUUUACCCCAAUUCGUUAGGGCAGGGAUUUGGUUGGAAACAUGUUCGAUGCGUAAUCAAAAUAAAUAAAGUAAUGUGUCCAUGUUUUGUCUAUUGUUGUAUGUUGAACUAUGAGGAAAGGUAAGUUUUAUUGUUAUUGCUAGGAUGCUAUCAUGUUAGUGUGUUUUGUUUACGCUUAUCUACUCGGCAUUACUAAUUGUUGAGUUUUGUGUUUAUGUUGGCUUUGUCUUUAUCUUGGCCCUACGAUGACCCAUAUCUUAUGGCGAGUAGUAGGAACAGUUUAAAGAAAAGUUUUUCAGGUGUUGCAGCAUGUUCAUGUUUGGGAUUGAGCAAAAAGCGAAUCUUGUUCUAGGAAGACAAGAAAAAGGAAAUAAAGAAAAGCACGUGAAAGAUAAGAAGGAAGUCAUCAAAUAAAAAGACUUAGCAACAAAGACCACUAAAACAAGGAAGAAGCAAACCAAGAUAAAGAGGAAGUAGCAGCUCUUCCAUGAAAACCGAAGUCCAGCAACCUUCAUCUUCAUCUUCAUCAUCAAAAAAAUAACCACUUAUCCUAUCUAAAAGCAAGGGGAUCCUUAUCCUAAUUAAGGAUUUUUCCUUCCAAAUCCCAGAAAAUUGGAGAGAUUAGAGGGUAUAUUAAAAACCCCUAAACAUACGAGAAGAAGAAAAAAUACGGAGGGAAGCCGCGAAACAGAGUACAGUGCAGGAGGAAGAUGAGUUCAUCUUGAUUGGGAGUUUAAUUCUUCCUCAUUCUUUUUAAUUGUUAAACUUUGAUUAAUUAUUAUGUCAAGUAUUAAUUUGUCAUUGUUAUACAAUUGGGUUGAAUUGAUUUUCAUGGCUUGCUAGAUUUCUUUGUUCUAGGUUAAAAGUGUAGUCUUUUAUUAAUUUAUCAAUGGAUUGAAGUAUUUUGUUUGGGUUUGAUUUA